rnacentral:rRNA from 1 species
GAUGAACGCUGGCGGCGUGCCUAAUACAUGCAAGUCGAGCGAACGGAUGAGAAGCUUGCUUCUCUGAUGUUAGCGGCGGACGGGUGAGUAACACGUGGAUAACCUACCUAUAAGACUGGGAUAACUUCGGGAAACCGGAGCUAAUACCGGAUAAUAUUUUGAACCGCAUGGUUCAAAAGUGAAAGACGGUCUUGCUGUCACUUAUAGAUGGAUCCGCGCUGCAUUAGCUAGUUGGUAAGGUAACGGCUUACCAAGGCAACGAUGCAUAGCCGACCUGAGAGGGUGAUCGGCCACACUGGAACUGAGACACGGUCCAGACUCCUACGGGAGGCAGCAGUAGGGAAUCUUCCGCAAUGGGCGAAAGCCUGACGGAGCAACGCCGCGUGAGUGAUAAAGGUCUUCGGAUCGUAAAACUCUGUUAUUAGGGAAGAACAUAUGUGUAAGUAACUGUGCACAUCUUGACGGUACCUAAUCAGAAAGCCACGGCUAACUACGU